rnacentral:rRNA from 1 species
AGCGAACGCUGGCGGCAGGCCUAACACAUGCAAGUCGAACGAACUCUUCGGGGUUAGUGGCGGACGGGUGAGUAACACGUGGGAACGUGCCUUUAGGUUCGGAAUAACUCAGGGAAACUUGUGCUAAUACCGAAUGUGCCCUUCGGGGGAAAGAUUAAUCGCCUUUAGAGCGGCCCGCGUCUGAUUAGCUAGUUGGUGAGGUAAAGGCUCACCAAGGCGACGAUCAGUAGCUGGUCUGAGAGGAUGAUCAGCCACAUUGGGACUGAGACACGGCCCAAACUCCUACGGGAGGCAGCAGUGGGGAAUCUUGCGCAAUGGGCGAAAGCCUGACGCAGCCAUGCCGCGUGAAUGAUGAAGGUCUUAGGAUUGUAAAAUUCUUUCACCGGGGACGAUAAUGACGGUACCCGGAGAAGAAGCCCCGGCUAACUUCGUG